rnacentral:rRNA from 1 species
UUAAAGGAAUUGACGGGGCCGCACAAGCGGUGGAGCAUGUGGUUAAUUCGACGCAACGCGAAGAACCUUACAGGCUUGACAUCCCUGACCGCGUAUGAAAGUACGUUUUCACCCUCGGGUGACAGGGAGACAGGUGGUGCAUGGUUGUCGUCAGCUCGUGUCGUGAGAUGUUGGGUUAAGUCCCGCAACGAGCGCAACCCUCGACCUUAAUUGCCAGCAUUCAGUUGGGCACUUUAAAGAGACUGCCGGUGUUAAGCCGGAGGAAGGUGGGGAUGACGUCAAGUCCUCAUGGCCUUUAUGCCCAGGGCUACACACGUGCUACAAUGGGUGGUACAAAGAGAUGCCAACUCGCGAGAGCGCGCCAAUCUCAGAAAGCCAUCCUCAGUUCGGAUUGGAGUCUGCAACUCGACUCCAUGAAGUUGGAAUCGCUAGUAAUCGCGGAUCAGCACGCCGCGGUGAAUACGUUCCCGGGCCUU